UACGUAGGGGGCAAGCGUUGUCCGGAUUUAUUGGGCGUAGAGAGCUCGUAGGUGGUUUGGUAAGUCGGAUGUGAAAUCUCCAGGCUCAACCUGGAGGGGUCAUUCGAUACUGCCAUGACUAGAGGUCGGUAGGGGAGUGUGGAAUUCCUGGUGUAGCGGUGAAAUGCGUAGAUAUCAGGAGGAACACCGGUGGUGUAGACGGCUUUCUGGACCGUAACUGACGCUGAGACACGAAAGCGUGGGUAGCAAACAGG
rnacentral:rRNA from 1 species